AGACCCAGAGACAGAUCUGGUAUCUUCCUAAGUUUUCCUAAAAACGGAUUUAAUAUUCGUAGUGUUAUCUUUGUGUGUGUUUGCUUUGAUUUGGGGCUUUUUUUUUUUUGUCAAAUAAAUUUUCUUAAUCCCUACUAUUCACAUCUGUUUUAUCAUUAAAACAUAAAAUUCCAACACACAAAUGACCCAUGUUUUUGAUGAAAAAACUACCUUUGACGGUAGCUCUUCGAAAUACUUAAGACUUCAUUUUGAUACACUGGUGUUUUGAAGAGUUACUGUCAAGGCCGUUAUUUCAUCAUUUUUAAAUUAUAUUCCAAGCAUUAUUUAUUUACAAUACAAUUCAUGAUUUAAUUAAUUAAUGUACAUUGGCAGGAAUUGGGGCUUGCAACCUUGCAAGCUAUGACAGAGUUGAAGUGUCCGGUAAAAACAUAACUAGACUGAAGAAAUUAACAGUUAAGCUAUGUUAUAGUUGCUGCUGGAAAGAAGGAGAAACUUGUGACAAUCAGCCGUGGGACAAAGAUGAAUCAACAAGAUACGUCUACUACAUGAGGUGAUGCAACAAUGGUGACGGUAACGGGGUUGAAUUCUCUCAAAGCUCAUGAGAUUUUCUAGUGUAAGUAUCUGGCGGCAAUGAAGAAUGGCGAUUAAAAUCAGUGUUGCCAAAAAGAAUGAAAGCUUAUUUCCUUGGUAUGAAUUUGUCUAAGUCUUGGAUUAAAUGAUCAUUUUGAUGUAAUUGAGUUGACUAGAUCAAUAUAAUGGAUACAUGUGAUGUAAAGUAGGUCUUGCUGAUUUUCUCAAACAUAUUCAUCGCAAGCUUUCUUAUUCAUUAUCACUUUAUCAGCA